AUGCGGACGAUGCCACGAGCCAAGAGAAAACUCCGAAGCACCCCCGGCUGGAGCCACGCGGCGCCGGCACCAUGGCUCCCCCUCGCCGCGGGCACACCCCCACCGCGGCCGCCGGCAAGUUUGCAGGGGGCCGGGCGGGCUGAGUGGGACUCACCGCGGAGCCCCUCCGGCCGGGCUGGCGACGGCGGCCGUGGGCGCAGGGUCGCGGCUCCCGGGUACGGUGCGCCCCGUGCGGCUCCCAGAGAGAUGGUGCUGCAGCCGCGGCAGCCCAUCCUUCUCCCCGAGCCAAUCGCGAGCGCAGGGGUGGGGGAGGCCCGGCUCCCGACUCGUCCGCACUUGGGGGGCGGGGGUGGGGGGAACGGAGAGAAAGAAGACACCAGGCACCCCCUCUCCGCACCCUUGCCCUUCCCCCAGCCCUCCUGCAGCAUCGAAGACUUAGCAGGGAGGGAGAUCUUGAGAGAGAGAGAGAGAAGGGAGGCGCAGGGUGGCAGGCUCUGCGGAGUUAGGGAGCGACCUCUCAGCCCGCACACCUUGAGCCGCCCUGCCUGGGCUGUGUCUGCAGGACGCUUCCGCACCCCGGGCCGGGGUCAGCGCAAGACAACAGCAAACACAUCCUCUGCAAAAGCUUCUCCACUAAGAUGAGCCUAGCUUACCCAUCAGAGCCCCUGAGCCAUUGACAUCCUCCUGCGGAAGAUGGUCAGCAUCACCGGUCACCAGAAGAGUGACCGCAGCAGGACACUGCCUCACACCACCGGGAGGGCUGGAAACGACAGGAGCCCCAAACUGGAAAGUAACAAGUGUUGCUGUUUUUGGUGAGGAUAUAGCGAAAUUUGAACCUCCAGUGUUGCUGAUGAGACAGUAACACAGUAUGGCUGCUGUGGAGAAUGGUCAGGGAGCUCCUCAAAAAUUAAACCAUCAAGCCAGCAACCAUGCUCCUCGGAGCGUGCCCCCACCUCGCCCGAUGACAGGGACCUAAGCAGACACUCGCACUGGAGCACUCACAGUAGCCGAAGGGGACCCAGAACCGGCUGCCCAUGGAUGGACAAACCCACGUAGGCCACACCACACACACACCUGGGAGAUGCGAUGCUGACUGAACGACACAAGCCACCUGGGCAGGAGGAGCCACAGAGAUGGAGCAGAAGGAGGCUUCCGGGGCCAGGGCACAGGAGAGCAACCACCUGAUGGGAACCCAGCCCUCUUCCCAGGGAGGGGAACGUUCUGGAACCAGAGAGAGGUGGUGGUGACUGUGCUAAAUGCCAGGGAAUUGUUCACUAUAAAAUAGCUCAUUUUAUGUUUGUGGAUUUCACCCCAAUUAAAAAACAACAAAAAGAUAAGUGGAGCUCAGGGUCCAGCCACACCUCCUCUCCCCACUGACCCCACCACCUGGACACGGGCAAACCCCCAGGCUGUGAAGACCACGUUCCUGCUCUCCUGGGGAUCUGAAUGAUGGAGAGGGUAUCCCCAGCUUCACCUCUCUCAACACCCCAGCACCUGCCUCCACUUGGGAGGGGCCAGG
ensembl:lncRNA